rnacentral:rRNA from 1 species
UACAGAGGUCUCAAGCGUUGUUCGGAUUCAUUGGGCGUAAAGGGUGCGUAGGUGGCGCCGUAAGUCAGGCGUGAAAUCCCGGGGCUCAACCCCGGAACUGCACUUGAUACUGCGGUGCUCGAGUACUGGAGAGGAGAUUGGAAUUUACGGUGUAGCAGUGAAAUGCGUAGAUAUCGUAAGGAAGACCAGUGGCGAAGGCGAAUCUCUGGACAGUUACUGACACUGAGGCACGAAGGCCAGGGGAGCAAACGGG